rnacentral:rRNA from 1 species
UACGUAGGGUGCAAGCGUUGUCCGGAAUUAUUGGGCGUAAAGAGCUCGUAGGCGGUCUGUCGCGUCGGCUGUGAAAUCCCCGGAGCUCAACUCCGGGUCUGCAGUCGAUACGGGCAAACUGGAGUACUGCAGGGGAGACGUGGAAUUCCUGGUGUAGCGGUGAAAUGCGCAGAUAUCAGGAGGAACACCGGUGGCGAAGGCGGGUCUCUGGGCAGUAACUGCGCUG